rfam:Cavia porcellus supercont2_40 genomic scaffold, whole genome shotgun sequence.
GUCCUUUUGUGGUUCACAAGCAUGACUGUGUCCUCAUGUCACUGUGUGGAAUUGCCUCCCUCAAACUUUAUGACAUUGGCAAAUUAUUUGUAUUAAA